rnacentral:misc_RNA from 1 species
UGGGGUCAGUCUCGCUUCAGCCGCCGUAGAGUAAGGGUGGCAGAGCGGAGUUGAGGAAGCUAAGUCUGAGCGAAGUCGUGCGUGCGUUUCUCUUGUUCUCUCUCUUUUAAAAAAUCAUUAACUUUGAAUUCCUGCAAACUGUUAACAUUCCCGACGGUGUAAAAGGAUACAAUGGUCUAAAGGCUUUGUAUUAUUACAUGUAAUUCUUGAAAAUCUUAGAGCAGGAGUGAGAUAAUUAAGGUUUUAACGAGACGCAACUUUUAGCAAAUAUUCGGAAAGACCAGUGAAGGAAAGAAAAUAAAAUAGAAUUAUCCUUAAAAUCAUGAAUAUUUCGAGUGCCUCCUUCGUGACCUGACCUUUUGACCUCAAGGGCAGAAAUAUAGAAAUAAAAAAAAAGAUGGACUGUUUGAAAUAUUAGGGAAAAAAAAAGAGACUAACUUCGUGACUUUAAUUAAGCCAAAAGUGACCUCGUGGUGGAGUCAUCUGGCGGUGACCUGACCCUCACUCUCCCGCCCCUGACUUGCCGCGGGCGUGAUGAGGGCGGCGCGUGAGUGACCAUCCCUCCCGCCAACCCUCCCGCCCACACCUCCGAGAAGGUCUCCCCGCCCCUUCACUCUCAGAGAUGCAGCCUCCAAGGGUCGGCGGAGGAAGCAAGGCAGGUCGGCCGGUAGUGAUGGUGGCGGCAGCUGCUUCCAUCAUGCUGUGUCUUUUACCUAAGCUGUCGUCUUGCACGCCUGCCCCGCCCACCACCCCCACAGCGACGCCCACAGAAGACGUGGCAGAACCUCAAUGGAUCCCGACAGGAGGAGGUGGAGGAGGCGGAGGAGGAGGAGGAGCAAAGGUAGAAGCGGAAAUGGGAGGACCAACAGCAGCAGGGAGAAGAGAAACAGCAUCAGCAUCAGGAGGAGGAGGAGGAGGAGGAGCACCAACAGGAGGAAACAUAAUGAUGACACACGAGGAGGCGAUGAAAGAGGUACUAGCGGAGGUGAGACAAGGCCAGGUGAUGCUACAAGGCCUACCUGGAUAUGUACCUGGCCAUAACGUGGUACCUGGAAACGGUCAGAUGCCAGGCUCAAUACCAGGCCGGCUUCAAGGACCUCUACCGGGACAAAUACCAGGGGGACUGCAAGGAGUACUACCAGAACAGGGGCAAGCCACAGGGGAGCCGAACUUGGAUUUAAGUCACAUCCUCCCUGAGUUGAACUUAGAGAACAACACUGUGACGGAAAUAAACGCCAAUGUAGGGGACGUGGCUCACCUGCCGUGCCGCUUCCCUCAGCUGUCAACCCUGCACCAGAAGGCGUUUCUGCUCCUACAAGUGUCGUGGAUCAGGAGGACAGACUUUCACAUCCUCACCACGGGCGUCUACACGUACACCACGGACAUGCGCUUCAGUGUGCUGCAUCCCGAAGGCACGGACGACUGGACACUGCAGAUCAAGUACGCGGAGGAGAGAGACAACGGAACCUAUGAGUGUCAGAUGUAUACAGGGACGGGCGUGCUCUCCCAGUUCGUUAAUCUGCACGUAAACCGCCCACGUGCAGCCAUCUUGGGGCCGCAGGAGCUUCACGUACAGGAGGGGGACACCAUCACCCUCGUGUGCGUCAUUCAGCAGCAGGGCAAGCCUCCCUUCGUGUUCUGGUACCACGGGGAGAAGAUGGUCAACUACGACGGCAGCAGGAACCGUCUGAGUGUGAUGACCAAGGUGGAGGGGACGAGGACUCACUCACGACUGACCAUCACAGACGCCAGGAGCUGGGACUCUGGUAAUUACUCCUGCAUCCCGCCUAACGUGGAGCCUUCCUUCGUCAUCGUCUUCGUCACAGAAGCAGGAGACACCGUGGCGGCAGUACAGCGGCGGGGUCACUCCUCCGCCCCGCCCCUCCUCUGCCCCUCCUUCUGCUCCUCCACCUCCGGGCUCCUCCUCGCGGUGGUCUUCAAGGUCGUCCUCACCCACCUCCUCCCCGUCAGAUGAUUCCACGGGCUUGCAAUUUAAAGGGAGAGAAAAUGUCCCUUUACUACCCUGAGAGAGAGAGAGAGAGAGAGAGAAAGAGAGUUUGUUUUGGGUUAGCAUUAUUCAUUUGCGACUUUUCACGAACAUUCCAUUAGUCUCCCACGAGCAGGGAAGGACGCACGUAUAUGCAAAUGAUAAUUAUUCUCCAGGCACAACAGGGGCCAUGCAUGCUUGCAAUACUACCGAGCAUGCGUACUGCGUCACCACCACCAUCACCACCACCGCCAACACCACCACCACUACCGACAACAAGGGAACUGUGUGUGUGUGUGUGUGGUGGCUAUGUCAACACACACACACACACACACACACACACACACACACACACACACACACACACACACACACAGUCACGCAUGUACACUCAAAUAUGGAAUGCAAACAGGACAUUCAGUAAAAAAGAGGAGGAAGAGGAGGGGAAAGAAGAAAAGGAUGUUUAUUGGUGUUUCAGGAUUAUUGACAGCUAGAGAAUAGGAAAAGAGGAAAUAUCAAAUAAAGAGGAGACAAGAAAUACUCUCUCUCUCUCUCUCUCUCUCUCUCUCUCUCUCUCUCUCUCUCUCUCUCUCUAGCUCUCUUUGCAACUCGCUUGAAGAAACCAUAAGAAGACGAAAACAAUGUUGAAACUUCUUCGCUUCUGUGACGAAUUCGACUUCGGAGGAAAACAAAACGAAGGAAAAUAUCGAAGAACUGGAAUGGAAAAAGAAAAAAGAGGAAAAAAGGAAAACAAAUACAGAAGUGUGUAGAAGAAUGAGUGAUGAAGGAAUGGAUGUUUUCUGUUUUCUUGACCUGAACAAGCUUGGAGGAAGGAAAAAAUGAAAGAAAAACGAAAAACAGAAGAAAAUUAGUCCUUCCUUUUCAGAAAAUACUGGUGAUAUACAUAGAGUUUUUUUUUUUUUUCCAAAGUGGUGUCCGUUUUCUGUUCCCUAGUGAUGGUGGAGAAAACGAUGGAGGACUAUGAUAAAUAAAACAAGUGGUAAAUAAAGAAAAGAGUGUUUUCGAAUGCGUUGAUAGUGCAGUGGUGUAUGAUAUUUGUAUGAGACUUGCGGACGUGUUUCGGGGAUUCACUUUUGGAAAAUAACUCUACACAGAUUUUUCGCAAUGUGUGUGUGUGUGUGUGUGUGUGUGUGUGUGUGUGUGUGUGUGUGUGUGUGUGUGUGUGUGUGUGUGUGUGUGU